rnacentral:misc_RNA from 1 species
CAACCUUCAAGCUCUGCUUGGUAUUGGGCGGUCACUUCUUUUGGUGCGCCUUAAAAUCAGUGGCAGUGCUAUCUGGCUUUCAAGCGUAGUAAAUUCUCUCGCUCUGGAGGACUAGGUGUGGACUGGCCUAACAACCAUAAAUUUUUCAAA